rnacentral:lncRNA from 1 species
AACUUCAGAGUAGAGUUGAAUGAUUUUCACAAAGAAGCAGAUUAUGUAUUGUUGGAAAGUCCAUGUUUAUCUCAUCUGACACAGCAAAUAAAGGAGAAAUCAUAGCAAUAACAGGACAAAAAAAGAGAAUCUAAUCAUGGAUUAUCUGACCAUUGAAGCUGAGGAAGAAGUCCUUCCAGCCAUUACUACCGAGGAUGCUUCUCUGCCCCAAAAACAGAACAUGGAAGAAAUGGAACCUACUGUUGAGCUCCUUCCUGUUGAGUUCCAGGAAUUGGUGACAGUCAAGGAUGAGGAAAUGGACUUCAGUCAUGUGGAGGAAGAAGAGCUGAAUUCUGCCCAAAGGUACAUGGGCAUUGAUAUGAAAGUGGAGAAUUGUGGGAGCCUGGUAUUUUGGGAUUCCGAAUCUACACCUGAAACUAAAGAAUCUUUUUCAAAGCAAGAACUUUAUGAAGAAGUGUCCUCCGAAAGAGAGCUGAUAAUAGAAAGACUUAAAAAGGUUGAGGCCUGGGACUCCAGACUGAUAGAAGCCUGGCAAUGUGAAGGCACAUUAGAAAGGCAGCAAGGAAACCAGAAGAAAGAUUUAAGGCAAGCCACAAUUAAACACAACAAAACCACUGUGGAGGAUUGUAAUGAAAUUGCGGAAAGUUCAAACCCAAUCAAACAUCGAAAUAUUUACUCAGU